rnacentral:rRNA from 1 species
UGAGGAAUAUUGGUCAAUGGGCGCGAGCCUGAACCAGCCAAGUCGCGUGAAGGAUGAAGGUUCUAUGGAUUGUAAACUUCUUUUAUGGGGGAAUAAAGUGCGGGACGCGUCCUGUUUUGUAUGUACCUCAUGAAUAAGCAUCGGCUAACUCCGUGCCAGCAGCCGCGGUAAUACGGAGGAUGCGAGCGUUAUCCGGAUUCAUUGGGUUUAAAGGGUGCGUUGGUGGCCUUUUAAGUCAGCGGUGAAAGUUUGUGGCUCAACCAUAAAAUUGCCGUUGAAACUGGAGGGCUUGAGUAUGUUGCCGUGGGAGGAAUGAGUAGUGUAGCGGUGAAAUGCAUAGAUAUUACUCAGAACACCGAUUGCGAAGGCAUCUCACGAAGCAGGCAUUGACGCUGAGGCACGAAAGCGUGGGGAUCAAACAGGAUUAGAUACCCUGGUAGU